rnacentral:rRNA from 1 species
GAUGAACGCUAGCGGCAGGCCUAACACAUGCAAGUCGAGGGGGAUUAUUAAUUAAGCUUGCUUAAUUAAUAUGAGACCGGCGCACGGGUGCGUAACGCGUAUGCAACCUACCGAUAACAGGGGGAUAACACUGAGAAAUUGGUACUAAUACCCCAUAACACUUUAAGAGGCAUCUCUUUUAGUUGAAAGCUCCGGCGGUUAUCGAUGGGCAUGCGUUGUAUUAGAUAGUUGGUGAGGUAACGGCUCACCAAGUCGACGAUACAUAGGGGGAAUGAUAGAUUAGCCCCCCACACUGGUACUCAGACACGGACCAGACUCCUACGGUACGCAGGAGUGAGGAAUAUUGGUCAAUGGACGCAAGUCUGAACCAGCCAUGGCGCGUGCAGGAUGACGGCUCUAUGAGUUUUAAACUGCUUUUGUAUUAGGGUAAACGCAGAUACGUGUAUCUGUCUGAAAGUAUAGUACGAAUAAGGUUCGGCUAACUCCGUGCCAGCAGCCGCAGUAACAC